UACAGAGGGGGCAAGCGUUGUUCGGAAUUACUGGGCGUAAAGGGCGCGUAGGCGGCCUUCUAAGUCGAACGUGAAAUCCCCGGGCUCAACCCGGGAACUGCGUCCGAGACUGGAAGGCUCGAAUCCGGGAGAGGGAUGUGGAAUUCCAGGUGUAGCGGUGAAAUGCGUAGAUAUCGUUUGGAACGCCAAUGGUGAAAACAGGUUGCUGGGAGUGUGCUGACGCUGAGACACGAAAGCCAGGGGAGCAAACGGG
rnacentral:rRNA from 1 species